GACGAACGCUGGCGGCGUGCUUAACACAUGCAAGUCGAGCGGUAAGGCCCUUUCGGGGGUACACGGGCGGCGAACGGGUGAGUAACACGUGGGUGACCUGCCCUCAGCUCUGGGAUAAGCCUGGGAAACCGGGUCUAAUACUGGAUAUGACUCCAUGACGCAUGUUGUGGGGUGGAAAGCCUUGUGCGGCUGAGGAUGGGCCCGCGGCCUAUCAGCUUGUUGGUGGGGUGANGGCCUACCAAGGCGACGACGGGUAGCCGGCCUGAGAGGGCGACCGGCCACACUGGGACUGAGACACGGCCCAGACUCCUACGGGAGGCAGCAGUGGGGAAUCUUGCGCAAUGGGCGAAAGCCUGACGCAGCGACGCCGCGUGAGGGAUGACGGCCU
rnacentral:rRNA from 1 species